UACGUAGGGUGCAAGCGUUGUCCGGAAUUAUUGGGCGUAAAGAGCUCGUAGGCGGUCUGUCGCGUCGGCUGUGAAAUCCCGAGGCUCAACCUCGGGUCUGCAGUCGAUACGGGCAAACUAGAGUAUUGCAGGGGAGACUGGAAUUCCUGGUGUAGCGGUGAAAUGCGCAGAUAUCAGGAGGAACACCGGUGGCGAAGGCGGUUCUCUGGGCAUGUCCUGACGUGAGGAGCGAAAGUGUGGGGGAGCGAAACAGG
rnacentral:rRNA from 1 species